AGUAUUAUGUCUGAAAAAGAAAUAAAUUGUAAAUUUAUUAAUAAAGAUUUUAAUUCUUUUAAUACUA
rnacentral:tRNA from 1 species